rnacentral:rRNA from 1 species
UACGUAGGUCCCGAGCGUUGUCCGGAUUUAUUGGGCGUAAAGCGAGCGCAGGUGGUUUGUUAAGUCUGGUGUAAAAGGCAGUGGCUCAACCAUUGUAUGCAUUGGAAACUGGUAGACUUGAGUGCAGGAGAGGAGAGUGGAAUUCCAUGUGUAGCGGUGAAAUGCGUAGAUAUAUGGAGGAACACCGGUGGCGAAAGCGGCUCUCUGGCCUGUAACUGACGCUGAGGUUCGAAAGCGUGGGUAGCAAACAGG